ACUCCUACGGGAGGCAGCAGUGGGGAAUUUUGCGCAAUGGGGGAAACCCUGACGCAGCAACGCCGCGUGGAGGAGGAAGUCCUUCGGGAAGUAAACUCUUUUCGACCGGGACGAUAUGACGUAC
rnacentral:rRNA from 1 species